AUGACUUCUACAUCGACAAGUGGUUCAACAGCAUCCACAACUUUGUCAACAACUGCAUCUCCUACAUCAGCAAGUCAUUCAACAACAUCCACAAAUUUGCCAACAAGUGUAUCUCCUACAUCACAAAGUACUUCACCAACAUCCACAACUGCUUCAACAAGUUCGACUUCUAUAACGACAACUGAUUCAACAACAUCCACAG